rnacentral:rRNA from 1 species
AGAGUUUGAUCCUGGCUCAGGAUGAACGCUAGCUACAGGCUUAACACAUGCAAGUCGAGGGGCAGCAUUUUAGUUUGCUUGCAAACUGAAGAUGGCGACCGGCGCACGGGUGAGUAACACGUAUCCAACCUGCCGAUAACUCCGGAAUAGCCUUUCGAAAGAAAGAUUAAUACCGGAUGGCAUACGAAUAUCGCAUGAUAUUUUUAUUAAAGAAUUUCGGUUAUCGAUGGGGAUGCGUUCCAUUAGUUUGUUGGCGGGGUAACGGCCCACCAAGACUACGAUGGAUAGGGGUUCUGAGAGGAAGGUCCCCCACAUUGGAACUGAGACACGGUCCAAACUCCUACGGGAGGCAGCAGUGAGGAAUAUUGGUCAAUGGGCGAGAGCCUGAACCAGCCAAGUAGCGUGAAGGAUGAAGGCUCUAUGGGUCGUAAACUUCUUUUAUAUGGGAAUAAAGUUUUCCACGUGUGGAAUUUUGUAUGUACCAUAUGAAUAAGGAUCGGCUAACUCCGUGCCAGCAGCCGCGGUAAUACGGAGGAUCCGAGCGUUAUCCGGAUUUAUUGGGUUUAAAGGGAGCGUAGGUGGAUUGUUAAGUCAGUUGUGAAAGUUUGCGGCUCAACCGUAAAAUUGCAGUUGAAACUGGGAGUCUUGAGUACAGUAGAGGUGGGCGGAAUUCGUGGUGUAGCGGUGAAAUGCUUAGAUAUCACGAAGAACUCCGAUUGCGAAGGCAGCUCACUAGACUGUCACUGACACUGAUGCUCGAAAGUGUGGGUAUCAAACAGGAUUAGAUACCCUGGUAGUCCACACAGUAAACGAUGAAUACUCGCUGUUUGCGAUAUACAGUAAGCGGCCAAGCGAAAGCAUUAAGUAUUCCACCUGGGGAGUACGCCGGCAACGGUGAAACUCAAAGGAAUUGACGGGGGCCCGCACAAGCGGAGGAACAUGUGGUUUAAUUCGAUGAUACGCGAGGAACCUUACCCGGGCUUAAAUUGCAACAGAAUAUAUUGGAAACAGUAUAGCCGUAAGGCUGUUGUGAAGGUGCUGCAUGGUUGUCGUCAGCUCGUGCCGUGAGGUGUCGGCUUAAGUGCCAUAACGAGCGCAACCCUUAUCUUUAGUUACUAACAGGUUAUGCUGAGGACUCUAGAGAGACUGCCGUCGUAAGAUGUGAGGAAGGUGGGGAUGACGUCAAAUCAGCACGGCCCUUACGUCCGGGGCUACACACGUGUUACAAUGGGGGGUACAGAAGGCAGCUACCUGGUGACAGGAUGCUAAUCCCAAAAACCUCUCUCAGUUCGGAUCGAAGUCUGCAACCCGACUUCGUGAAGCUGGAUUCGCUAGUAAUCGCGCAUCAGCCAUGGCGCGGUGAAUACGUUCCCGGGCCUUGUACACACCGCCCGUCAAGCCAUGAAAGCCGGGGGUACCUGAAGUACGUAACCGCAAGGAGCGUCCUAGGGUAAAACUGGUAAUUGGGGCUAAGUCGUAACAAGGUAGCCGUACCGGAAGGUGCGGCUG